UCCUCUAUAGUGUAGUGGUUAACAUAGUUGGUUUUCACCCAACAGCCUCGGGUUCGAUUCCCGAUAGAGGAA
rnacentral:tRNA from 1 species